GGGAGCGGCUGGUCCGAAGGUGGAAGGCGCUGAGGGGUUAGGAGGCUCUGUUUUCACCUGCUUUACCCGAACGGGACCUAAAAAAGAUGUUUUGACGGGUUGGAGCUACUCCCUUCUGCUACUCCGUGAGACCUCUUGCGAGCAGAUGCAGAUGUCCCGGGCUUGUAGCCUGGAAUCUCCAUGAGGGCAAAGACAAUAUUGUCACUGUUGCAUUUCCAUCUCCUAGAACAUUGUAUGGCCUGUGGCUGUUGCCCAAGAUACUUGUUGAAUGAAGGGAUGAACGAUGCGCCGUGUUUCAGGAGGCAGAGGCAGUCACAUAUACUGCUGAUGGGAGUGUAAAUUCAUACCACCUCCUUGGAAAGCAAUUUGGUAAUAACUAUUGAAAUUGAUGAAAAAGUUCUGGACAUAGUGACGGGUUGUACAACAUUGUGAAUGUACUUAAUGCCACUGAACUGCAUAGUAAAUUUUAUAUUUUACCACAAAAAAACCCGCAGUUUUGGAACUGCCACAGCAAUGUAAGAGAUCAACUUUUUUUACUUCCAAAAUUCACUUCUUAAACACCAUUUGUAGGAAAUUUGUACAAAGUAGGCUGUGAAUGGAAUAUUUUAUUUGUAAGACUGACUCCUGGAUAGCAGCUGGCAGGCCCAGGAAUGCAGACUUGCCACAUGGCCACAGCUACAGGUAAGAUGACCCGAUCCUGUGGUGACAUCUUUUAUUCUGGGUGCUUCUGUCCCUUUCACAGUUGCCCUCGGAACUUGGGAAAAUGAAUACAUUUCCCAAGAAAUGCUGAGAAGGAAUUCCUACGUGUGCACACUAGAAGGAACCACAAGAGGCACCAGGAACACUAGAAGAAAAUGGAGCAUGAAAGCCAAGUUAUGAGAGCGCUUCAGUAGAAAAACUAAGAUAAAUAAGAUAAAAAUUAAAUUACUGAUUUGCUAACUAAGUCCUGAGGUGUCUUAAAGGACAGUUUCUGUGGAGUAGUACCUUGUAGAGCAGCCAGCAUUGGAGGCAGACCUGGCUUGGAAUCCUGGCUCUUAGGUUUACCAGAUACGUGAUCCUGGACAAGUUAUUUAAUAUUACCAGUGAGCCUCAGUUCCCUCCUCUAUUAAAGGGAAAUAAUACCUACUGUCAGGUGUGCAGUUUAAGGUUACCUAUUGUUUCAUGGAUGCUGGCAGAAGACAAGAGAUGCCAACGUCAUGGACAAAAGGCCUUAUUCAUGGUACAAGCCAAGUGAGCAUCAUGUAUGUAUCGGCUCUUUUGCCUCCCAAGCCCCACAGGCAACAUGGAGGGGCCCGAUGCAUGCCAGGCACACAGUGAGUGGCACUGUGGGGGAGGAACAAUGAACUUGGGGAACCUGGUGCUUUAUGGUAAGUAGUAAGCAAGCUGCUCUUUGUCCCACAUAGAGACACUCCUUCUCCCUCACAGUUGCUUAAU